UCCCCUCCAUCUCUGCCCUCCCAUGUGAUCGGAUCCAGAGUAAAAUUGAGGCAAUCUGGGCAGCGCAUUUGAAACCCGUGCAAAUCUGGGUGGAAUUUAGCAGCCAGGUGGAGGAGCUAAAAUCCGAGGACUACCCUAAAUUCUGAGGGUCAUGACAACCGUAUCUUUGGUUGCCUCUUGACCUUGGUUAGCCAAAGUAUAGUAGAACGAUCGUGUACAGAUGGAAAUGAAAAUACACCGUGGACAAAUUGUACCCAGAGUUCCACCCUGUGCAAGGCAAGGAGGCAGACUGUCCCAAAUCAAAAGCUACAGGAAAGGGGAAUCCUGUAGAGAGUGUGGAGGACUCACACGGUGCAUUACUCGUGCUCUGGAGGGUGGGGUGGAGUUUCCCUUCACUCAACUCCUGGAGCUGCCGGAUGGCGGGAAAGCCGCCACUCAUCUUUGUCACCAAUCUGCCCGCCCAGAGCCCUGCCUGCGACAGACUGUG